rnacentral:rRNA from 1 species
CAUGGCCUUUAUGUCCAGGGCUACACACGUGAUACAAUGGCAUAGACAGAGGGCUGCAAUGCGGUAACGCGGAGCCAAUCCCUAAACUAUGCCCCAGUUCAGAUUGUGGGCUGCAAUUCGCCCACAUGAAGGUGGAAUCGCUAGUAAUCGCAGAUCAGCAGGCUGCGGUGAAUACGUUCCCGGGCCUUGUACACACCGCCCGUCACACCACGAAAGUCAAUUGCAACAGAAGCGCCCCGAGCAACCGGGGCACCAAGUUGUGAUUGGUGAUUGGGGUGAAGUCGUAACAAGGUAGCCGUACGAGAACGUGCGGCUGGAUCACCUCCUUU